AUUGAACGCUGGCGGCAGGCCUAACACAUGCAAGUCGAGCGGUAGAGAGAAGCUUGCUUCUCUUGAGAGCGGCGGACGGGUGAGUAAUGCCUAGGAAUCUGCCUGGUAGUGGGGGAUAACGUUCGGAAACGGACGCUAAUACCGCAUACGUCCUACGGGAGAAAGCAGGGGACCUUCGGGCCUUGCGCUAUCAGAUGAGCCUAGGUCGGAUUAGCUAGUUGGUGGGGUAAUGGCUCACCAAGGCGACGAUCCGUAACUGGUCUGAGAGGAUGAUCAGUCACACUGGAACUGAGACACGGUCCAGACUCCUACGGGAGGCAGCAGUGGGGAAUAUUGGACAAUGGGCGAAGGCCUGAUCCAGCCAUGCCGCGUGUGUGAAGAAGGUCUUCGGAUUGUAAAGCACUUUAAGUUGGGAGGAAGGGUUGUAGAUUAAUACUCUGCAAUUUUGACGUUACCGACAGAAUAAGCACCGGCUAACUCUGUG
rnacentral:rRNA from 1 species